AUACGGGAGGCAGCAGCUAAGAAUCUUCCGCAAUGGGCGAAAGCCUGACGGAGCGACGCCGCGUGAAUGAUGAAGGCCGAAAGGUUGUAAAAUUCUUUUCUUGGGGAAGAAUAAUGAUUGGAGUGGAAUGCCAGUCAGAUGACAUUAACCAGGGAAUAAGCCCCGGCUAAUUACGUGCCAGCAGCCGCGGUAAUACGUAUGGGGCGAGCGUUGUUCGGAUUUAUUGGGCGUAAAGGGCGUGUAGGCGGUUUCGUAAGCUUGGUGUGAAAUAUUCUGGCUUAACCAGAAAAACGCACUGGGAACUGCGAGACUAGAGUUUAGGAGGGGAAGCUGGAAUUCCAGGUGUAGGGGUGAAAUCUGUAGAUAUCUGGAAGAACACCAAAGGCGAAGGCAAGCUUCUGGACAUAGACUGACGCUGAGGCGCGAAAGCGUGGGGAGCAAACAGGAUUAGAUACCCCGGUAGC
rnacentral:rRNA from 1 species